rnacentral:rRNA from 1 species
AACGAACGCUGGCGGCGUGGAUAAGACAUGCAAGUCGAACGGGACUAAAUCUGUAGCAAUACAGGUUUAGUUUAGUGGCGAACGGGUGCGUAACACGUGGGCAAUCUGCCGAGAAGUGGGGGAUAGCUCGCCGAAAGGACGAAUUAAUACCGCAUAUGAUCAGUGAAGACAUCUUCACGACAUCAAAGACCGGGGCGAACCUGGCGCUUCUUGAUGAGCCCGCGGCCUAUCAGCUAGUUGGUGAGGUAACGGCUCACCAAGGCUAUGACGGGUAGCUGGUCUGAGAGGACGACCAGUCACACUGGAACUGAGACACGGUCCAGACACCUACGGGUGGCAGCAGUCGAGAAUUUUUCUCAAUGGGGCGAACCCUGAAGGAGCGACGCGCGUGGAGGA